CUUGCUGGAGAUCUCUGUGUACUUGAGGCCUUCUGAAGAUUAGAAGAUACAGCAUGAUAAAAUGGUCAUUUUUGCUGCCUAUGACUGACUACUUCAGUUACUUUGGAACACGCGGAGACAGGGAAACUGGAUAAGACUGCAUUGAAGACUACUGGCUGGCAUAUAGAUGUUCAUUAUUACAGUAUCUACGACCUUGUGCUGAAUCAAGUCGACCUUUCAUUCCGAAGUAUAAAAAAUUUUGAAAUUCAAAGAAACAAAAAAUCCUACACCUCUGAUGUACUUAGUCUUUUUUUUUUUUCUUUUGCUGAAAGCACUACAAAACUCAUUCUUUUCUAUGCUCUUUCCAAGAAAAUACAUGACAAGAGAACGUUAUGCAGCUGAGAGUCAGCAGAAAAGACUGGGGACAAGUGAUCUCCUUUGCCUCAUACUGCAAGACUUUUGCAUUUUAAGUUUGUAGAAAAUUGUGUCUAGAUCUAGCUGUAGAAUUCUACCGGGUUUAAUAAAUCGGUCAUUAUCACAGGAAAAAAAGCAGCCUUUUAAACCCUGCAGGAUUAAACUUCACAUCUCUUCCAAACACCCUGUCCUAACUACCAUGUCAGGAACAGCUUAACAAUAUGGGGGAACAAGGCUAUAUAGCAUAUUAGCUGAUACGCAUAUGAACAAGAAAGUACUAACAGCCAGGUCUGCAUUUUUUCUCCAGAAACAGGUGCAGCCCUCAUGAUGUCAGCUUUUUGAGCUUACACAUUCACUCUCUGAUGCAUCAUAUAUACAGAUAAGCUAAUCAUUCACUUGCAUCCACAUUCUCCAAAUGGCAAUUUCUGCAAAUCAUUCAUGGCAAGGAUGUAUUCUUUCUCUGGUUUUUCUUCCUCAAAAAACUACAUUCUCUAUGCUUUAAUUAGGGAAAUAAAGCUUUCUCUGAAUAUAUAUUUACAUAUGUAUCUUUAUAUGUGUAUUCUUUAGAUCUAUUUUUAUUUAGUCAUCAGUUGAAAAGCUUGUGAAAGUACGAACGAUUUCCCCCAGCUUACAUUAUAACCACCUUAUCAAUAGAGACUUUUGGAGUUUUGAGAGAAGCAAUCCUUGUGUACAUAAUGAAGCUGUUGGCAGGUGAGAAGAAAAAUGAAGAGCCUUUUCUUCUGCACAAAGGGACAGCUAAGCUGCUAUCCUGACUCUUCACUUUAGCCACCCCGUCUCUUAAAGGUUACAGGUGCUGGAUGUGCCUUGCUCAUUUUUCAUCAUAGGUCCAGAGACAAAAAGGAGCCUCCAAAAGAGCUGUUUUGUGUUCACAUAGUGCUGCUGAAUCCUUCAGGUGGUUUCUGAAUGGGGCAUCCUAAAUGAACUGGCAAAUCCACUGUGAUUAUACUGCAUAUUAUAUGUGUCAUAGAAGGAAACACUAUUAGACUAUCAAAAUAAUACAAUUCCAUGCAAUUCCUACAACAAAUGUAACCUGAUCAGAGGGGUACUAAAGGCAAAAAGUGCUAAUUAUCAGUAGAGGCAUAGUAAAAAAGGUAUAACACUUUCGUCUGUCCUAGGGACUUCAGGAUAGUCAUUUGUCAUUCAACACUUCUUUAAUUGCUUGUGUUAUUAAAUGACAGUGCCUGUACUGAUACUUUAGUCUGGUGAAAUGCUUUAUUAAUUUCUGCUUUUAAAUCAAAAUAAAAAGGAAGACAGGUGUCAACGGUUUACGGGCUGGUUUGGCCUGGUUCUGUGACGAAUGGGGUAGGGGAC